rnacentral:rRNA from 1 species
UCCUGGGGCUGAAGUAGGUCCCAAGGGUAUGGCUGUUCGCCAUUUAAAGUGGUACGCGAGCUGUGUUUAGAACGUCGUGAGACAGUUCGGUCCCUAUCUGCCGUGGGNNCNGGAGAACUGAGGGGGGCUGCUCCUAGUACGAGAGGACCGGAGGGGACGCAUCACUGGUGUUCGGGUUGUCAUGCCAAUGGCACUGCCCGGUAGCUAAAUGCGGAAGAGAUAAGUGCUGAAAGCAUCUAAGCACGAAACUUGCCCCGAGAUGAGUUCUCCCUGACUCCUUGAGAGUCCUGAAGGAACGUUGAAGACGACGACGUUGAUAGGCCGGGUGUGUAAGCGCAGCGAUGCGUUGAGCUAACCGGUACUAAUGAACCGUGAGGCUUAACCUUACAACGCCGAAG